CUCGAGAUGUAAUCUUGGUGCUCAGGCAAUAAUACUGUACUUCUCUACCUUGAUAUAUAAUUUACUAUUAUAGCACUAGGAAGUGGUGUCUAAUAAUAUCAGAUGCUAGGAUAAAACCUAGACCCUAUCAAGUUGUUCACUUAAAGAACUCGGAUUUUUUUAAUUUGCAGAAUCUUGUUGAUGACGUUAUGACAAACAGUACUUUAAAUUGUGUUGGGAAUAAGGUUGAACGGAGUUCUGUUCAGCUUACAUCUAAAUAUGCCAGUCGCAUUCCUAUUUCUGACAAAAAGAAGAGUGACCUUGUUUAUUUACUUAAUCAAGAGAUUAUUCCCGAAGAGUACACCGAUUUUGUUACUAGCCUUCCUUCAACAUAUGAUGACACGCAGCUAGCAGUACACAACGAGGGAGACUAAUCUGCAAUGCAAAUAUUUUUAAAGACGUUUUUUCUUGUUUAGUACCCUAAGAUGGAACUGUCCCGUUCGCUCAGCCCUCUAAUAUCUGCUUCUUCUUCAUUGGAUGAUGACAUAAAUAUAACCGAGCGCAGGAAACGGAUACGAAUAAUGCACUACAUGGAUACAAUUACUUCAUAUUCAGAUGAAGAGUUAAAACAACAUUUCCAUUCCGCUUAAAAAGAGAAACAGCAUUAAAAUUAAUUGUUAUAUCGCCCCAGUAUUAAAGCCUAUAAAGGAGAUGGAAUCAUAUUACAGCCGAAAAAGCCAUUUAUAUCAUAAUCUGGUAUUUGUCUAAUAUGGAAACAUUUCGUCAAAUAUCUGAUUGGUUCGACGUGACUUUGAGUUGUGCAAUCGUAGUACUUGACUUUUUUGUUAACAACAGUUCCAAAUUUAUAAAAUGGCCAUCAUAGCAAGAAGCCAAAGAAGAGGCUUAUUAUUUUGAAAAAAAAGGUAUCGCCAAUGUUAUAGGAGCAAUUGAUGGCCGCCAUAUAAAAAUACAUAGACCUGUUACUCACGAAUAAGAUUACGUGAAUAGAAAAGGUUAUCAUAGCAUAAUAUUACAGGGUGUGAUCGAUUCAAAAAUGAAGUUCAUAGAUGUUUCAACUGGCCAUCCUGGAUCAGUCCACGAUGCGAGAGUUCUUAGAAAAAGUUACAUGUAUAAUGCAGCAGUUGAAAACUAUCAGACUACGUUUUUUAGUACCGCCUAUGUGGGCGAUUCUGCGUAUCCCUCAAUAAGAUGGCUUGUGGUUCCUUAUAAGGAUAAUGGGCAUCUUAAUGAUGAACAAAGGGAUUAUAACUACAGGCAUUCUGUAACUAGGAUUAUAGUGGAGCAUGCUUUUGGAGCAUUGAAAGGAAAGUUUAGAAGAUUAAGAUAUUUUGAAAAUUUAAAGCCAACAUUUAUCAUAAAAUGUGUUGUUGUCGCAUGUGUUCUGCACAAAAUAUGUUUAAUGGAUAAUGACAUUACCGAAAAAAUCUAUGAUGACGAAAUAAAUGAGUAACUUUUAUUAAAUAUCUUUAA